rnacentral:rRNA from 1 species
AUGUCGCACCUGAGCAUCCUGACCUUCAAGUACAACCUAGCGAAGCUCCGGUUCAAGCCCUCCCGUCCGGCCGGACGGCUGCUGUCCGCCAGGGACCGGCAGCAGUCCGACCUGAUGAUGUACAAGCCUGACGAGGAGGAGAUGGCCAAGGUGUUCGACAAGAUUGCCGGUGAGCCUGGCCGGAUCUCAAGGAGCGACCUCCAGGCCCUCCUGCAGAGGUUCGACAAGGCGGACGCCGUGGGCGAGGCGCGGCGGAUGGUCUGCGCCGCCGACAGCAACAAGGAUGGGUACAUGGACCUGGAGGAGUUCAUGGAGGUGCACAGGAACGGCGUCCAGCUGGGCGACAUACGCCGAGCCUUCUUCGUGUUCGACAGGGACAGGGACGGCAGGAUCACCGCGGAGGAGGUGAUGGACGUCCUGCGCAGGCUCGGGGACAGCUGCAGCCUCGAGGACUGCCGGAAGAUGGUGAAGGAGAUCGACAGGAACCAUGAUGGGUUCGUGGACAUGGAUGACUUCAUGGUCAUGAUGACACGCCCGAGGAAGAGGAUGUAA